GACAGAGGUCCCGAGCGUUAGGCGGAAUCACUGGGCUUAAAGCGUGUGUAGGCGGAUCGUUAAGUGCCUUGUGAAAUCCCAUGGCUUAACCAUGGAACUGCUUGGCAUACUGGCGAUCUUGAGCCACCUAGGGGCAACCGGAACAAAUGGUGGAGCGGUGAAAUGCGUAGAUAUCAUUUGGAACGCCAAUGGUGAAAACAGGUUGCUGGGAGUGUGCUGACGCUGAGACACGAAAGCCAGGGGAGCGAACGGG
rnacentral:rRNA from 1 species